ensembl:lncRNA
CUGCAGGGAGUGGGCAAGUUUCCCCAUGUAGGCCUUCCAGGGAGUGGGCUGGCCAGCAAGUCCAAUGGACUACAAAGCUAUGUCCGUACGUAGCUCUGGGAGCAUGCUUCUGCAGUAACUGGGAAAAAGAAUUUACAGCAAGCACAUGGGCUGGAGAGUUCAUUCUCUGCCUCCUCAGGCUGUAGGGAGAGAGCUAAGCUGUGUCCUCUGUCCCUCAGGGAUAUGUGCCCAGCCAAGGCACUGAUAGGUGUCAUCAUAACCCUGCAUGGUGCUUCUGGCUUGGUACUCACCCGGCUCAGUUAGUGCUGGCUUCACGUCCAGGUGGAGGCCUGUCACAGGUGUUGCCCCCCAGGGGUCUGUCUUGGGAUAAGUACUCUUUAACAUCUUUAUCAGUGACGAAGGCAGUGGGAUCAAGUGUGCCCUCAGCAUGUUUGCUGAUGACACCAAGCUGAGCGGUGUGGUUGAUACAACAGAAGGAAGAGAUGCCAUCCAGAGAGACUUGGACAGGUUUGAGGAGUGGACACACAUGAAUCUAACGAGUUUCAACAAGGCCAAGUGCAAGGUGGUGCACUUUGGCUCACGGCAACCACAGAUAUGUGUACAGACUGGGAGGAAAACUCACUGAGAGCAGUCCUGUGGGGAAGGACUUGGGGGUUCAAAAAGCUGGACAUGAGCCAGCAGUGUGUGCUUACAGCCCAGAAUGCUCUUGGCCUUUAGGGCUGCAUCACAGGAGGGGUGGCCAGCAGGGUGAGGAAGGGGGUUUUCCUCCUCUGCCCCUGUAAGACCCCAUCUGGAUUACUGCAUCCAGGCCUGGGUCCCUCAGCACAAGAAAGAUGUGGAGAUGUUGGAGGGGGUCCAGAGGAAUAUUAUCAGAGGGCUGGAGCACCUCUCCUAAAGAAACGCAGAGGGAGCUGGGAUCUACAAGAAAAGGCUGUGGGGAAAAUUUAGAUUAUGUUAGGAAGAAAUAUUUCACUCAGGGUGGUGAGGUGCUGCCCAGAGAAGCUGUGGUGCCCCAUCCCUGGA